AUAUUUACCUGGCAGGGAAGAUAUCAUGAUCAUGAAGGUGGUUUUUCCAGAAUUAGCUUUAUCCAUUGCACUCCCAAUGUGCUGACCCCUGCAAUUUCCACAAAUGUGGGAAAUUUGACUGCAUAAUCUGCGAUAGUGCAGAUAGUGUGUUCGCUCGUCCAUA
rnacentral:snRNA from 1 species